AGUGGCGGACGGGUGAGUAACGCGUGGGUAACCUGCCUCACACUGGGGGACAACAGUUAGAAAUGACUGCUAAUACCGCAUAAGACCACGGUACCGCAUGGUACAGUGGUAAAAACUCCGGUGGUAUGAGAUGGACCCGCGUCUGAUUAGGUAGUUGGUGGGGUAACGGCCUACCAAGCCGACGAUCAGUAGCCGACCUGAGAGGGUGACCGGCCACAUUGGGACUGAGACACGGCCCAG
rnacentral:rRNA from 1 species